AAUCUUUCGGGAUUAAUGAGAGUGGCGCACGGGUGCGUAACGCGUAUGCAACCUACCUUAUACUGAGGGAUAGCCCGGGGAAACUCGGAUUAAUACCUCAUGGUAAUAUGAAUUGGCAUCGGUUUAUAUUUAAAGAUUAUAUUGGUAUAAGAUGGGCAUGCGUAGGAUUAGCUAGUUGGUAGGGUAACGGCCUACCAAGGCUACAAUCCUUAGGGGUUCUGAGAGGAAGGUCCCCCACACUGGUACUGAGAUACGGACCAGACUCCUACGGGAGGCAGCAGUAUGGAAUAUUGGGCAAUGGACGGAAGUCUGACCCAGCCAUGCCGCGUGCAGGAAGAAAGCGUUAUGCGUUGUAAACUGCUUUUAUACGGGAAGAAAAGGCCCAUGCGUGGGACAUUGCCGGUACCGUAUGAAUAAGCACCGGCUAACUCCGUGCCAGCAGCCGCGGUAAUACGGAGGGUGCAAGCGUUGUCCGGAUUUAUUGGGUUUAAAGGGUGCGUAGGCGGCUAUUUAAGUCAGUGGUGAAAGUUUUGGGCUCAACC
rnacentral:rRNA from 1 species